rnacentral:rRNA from 1 species
CUAGUCUUAUCGGUGGAUCACUCGGCUCGUGGAUCGAUGAAGAAACGCAGCCAACUGCGAUAAUUAGUGCGAACUGCAGAAACCUUGAACACAAAACAUUCGAAUGCACAUUGCGCCAUUGGAGUUACAUCCAUUGGCACGCCUGGUUCAGGGUCGUUA